rnacentral:rRNA from 1 species
GACGUGACUUCAGAGUUUGAUCCUGGCUCAGGAUGAACGCUAGCGGCAGGCUUAACACAUGCAAGUCAGGGGCAGCAUAAUGAAGUAGCAAUACGGAAUUGAUGGCGACCGGCGCACGGGUGCGUAACGCGUAUGCAACCUACCCAUAACUGGGGGAUAACACUGAGAAAUUGGUACUAAUACCGCAUAAUACUUUAGGAGGCAUCUUUUGAAGUUGAAAGUUCCGGCGGUUAUGGAUGGGCAUGCGUUGUAUUAGCUAGAUGGUGAGGUAACGGCUCACCAUGGCGACGAUACAUAGGGGGACUGAGAGGUUAACCCCCCACACUGGUACUGAGACACGGACCAG